CAGUCCCGCGGUAAUACGUAGGGUGCGAGCGUUAAUCGGAAUUACUGGGCGUAAAGCGUGCGCAGGCGGUUCGUUAAGACAGAUGUGAAAUCCCCGGGCUUAACCUGGGAACUGCAUUUGUGACUGGCGAGCUAGAGUAUGGCAGAGGGGGGUAGAAUUCCACGUGUAGCAGUGAAAUGCGUAGAGAUGUGGAGGAAUACCGAUGGCGAAGGCAGCCCCCUGGGCCAAUACUGACGCUCAUGCACGAAAGCGUGGGGAGCAAACAGGAUUAGAUACCCGAGUAGUCCCUGUCUCUUAUACA
rnacentral:rRNA from 1 species